rnacentral:rRNA from 1 species
UUCGGCGUAAGAGUGGUUAGAACGAUAUAUAACUAAAGCCGAACCUUCUCAGAACUGUUAUACGUACUCGAGAGUAAGAAGCCCCUCAACGAAAGUAGCUUUAACAUUUUGACCCCACGAAAGCUGCGAAACAAACUGGGAUUAGAUACCCCACUAUGCCCAGCUAUAAACAUUAAUAGCUUUGAUACAUUUGCUAUUCGCCCGGGUACUACGAGCAUCAGCUUAAAACCCAAAGGACUUGGCGGUGCUUAAGACCCCCCUAGAGGAGCCUGUUCUAGAACCGAUAACCCCCGUUGAACCUCACCCUCUCUUGUUCAUUCCGUCUAUAUACCGCCGUCGUCAGCUUACCCCGUGAGGGUUCAACAGUAAGCAAGAUUAGCAAACCUCAAAACGUCAGGUCGAGGUGUAGCGAAUGGGAGGGGAAGAAAUGGGCUACAUUCCUUAAUGUAAGGAAAACGAAUAAUGCAAUGAAACGUGCAUUGGAAGGAGGAUUUAGCAGUAAGCAGAAAAUAGAGCGUUCUGCUGAAGCCGGCCCUAAAGCGCGCACACACCGCCCGUCACUCUCCCCAAGCUUGCGCAAUCUUAUAAAUAAAAAGUUUAAAUAGUAAAGGGGAGGCAAGUCGUAA